AACGCACCUUGCGCUCCUUGGUAUUCCUUGGAGCAUGCCUGUUUGAGUGUCAUUAAAUUCUCAACUUCAUCAGUUUUGUUAUGAGACUGUGUGAAGCUUGGAUGUGGGGGUUUGUGCAGAAUGCUUGACUGUAGACUGCUCCCCUUAAAUAAAUUAGCGAGUUCAAACUGAGCUCCGUCUAUUGGUGUGAUAAUUAUCUACGCCGUGGAUUGGACUUAGACUUGCUUCUAACCGUCCGCAAGGACAAUCUUUUGACAAUUUGACCUCAAAUCAGGUAGGACUACCCGCUGAACUUAA
rnacentral:misc_RNA from 1 species